UGCGUAGGCGGCUCGUUAAGUCGGGGUGAAAUACUUCGGCUCAACCGGAGAAUUGCCUUCGAUACUGGCGAGCUGGAGGAAGGUAGGGGUCGCGGGAACUGCCAGUGGAGCGGUGAAAUGCGUUGAUAUUGGCAGGAACGCCGGUGGUGAAGACGCGCGGCUGGACCUUUUCUGACGCUGAUGCACGAAAGCCAGGGGAGCGAACG
rnacentral:rRNA from 1 species